GCAACGGCUGCUAGCAAUAUCUGGCUCAAAGCUUGCACACUAAUGGUUGGAUUGAGCUGCAGAUCGGUAGGAGGGCCAGUAAAAGAUUGAAGUAAAAGAUCACCGGCUUAUCGUCUGCAUCACAAAGAUGUGAGGACGUGGUGUCCAGAGGCUGAUGUGGAGAAAUGAGUUAUCCCCAUGUGCUGGCCAGCCUAAUGGAGG